UACGUAGGGGGCAAGCGUUGUCCGGAUUUAUUGGGCGUAAAGAGCGUGUAGGCGGCCAUGCAGGUCCGUUGUGAAAACUGGAGGCUUAACCUCCAGACGUCGAUGGAAACCGUAUGGCUAGAGUCCGGAAGAGGAGAGUGGAAUUCCUGGUGUAGCGGUGAAAUGCGCAGAUAUCAGGAAGAACACCCGUGGCGAAGGCGGCUCUCUGGGACGGUACUGACGCUGAGACGCGAAAGCGUGGGGAGCGAACAGG
rnacentral:rRNA from 1 species